GACGAACGCUGGCGGCGUGCUUAACAUAUGCAAGUCACGGGGGCUCGCAAGAGCAACCGGCGAACGGGUGCGUAACACGUGAACAACCUGCCCUUGUGUGGGGGAUAGCCGGGCUAACACCCGGGUAAUACCGCAUACGGUCCCUUGGAGGAGUCUCUGGGGGAGGAAAGCUCCGGCGCACGAGGAGGGGUUCGCGGCCUAUCAGCUAGUUGGCGGGGUAACGGCCCACCAAGGCGACGACGGGUAGCUGGUCGAGAGGAUGGCCAGCCACAUUGGGACUGAGAGACGGCCCAGACUCCUACGGGAGGCAGCAGGUGGGGAAUCUUGCGCAAUGGCCGAAAGGCUGACGCAGCGACGCCGCGUGUGGGAUGAAGCAUUUCGGUGUGUAAACCACUGUUGCCCCGGGACGAACAGCCCUUUUCGAGGGGUCUGACGGUACCGGGUGAGGAAGCACCGGCUAACUCCGUGCCAG
rnacentral:rRNA from 1 species